rnacentral:rRNA from 1 species
ACGCUCGACACCUACGGAGGCAGCAGUGGGGAAUAUUGCACAAUGGGGGAAACCCUGAUGCAGCGACGCCGCGUGGAGGAAGAAGGUCUUCGGAUUGUAAACUCCUGUUGUUGGGGAAAAAGAGGAUGGUACCCAACAAGGAAGUGACGGCUAACUACGUGCCAGCGGCCGUGGUAAUCUGAGCGGGCUGGCAAGGC